rnacentral:rRNA from 1 species
GACGAACCGAGCGAACGUUAUUCGGAAUUACUGGGCGUAAAGAGCGCGCAGGCGGUCGGAUAAGUCGAAUGUGAAAGCCCCUGGCUCAACCAGGGAGGGUCAUUCGAUACUGUUCGACUCGAAGGCAGGAGAGGGAAGUGGAAUUCCGGGUGUAGUGGUGAAAUGCGUAGAUAUCCGGAGGAACACCAGUGGCGAAGGCGACUUUCUGGCCUGUUCUUGACGCUGAGGCGCGAAAGCUAGGGGAGCAAACGGG